AGCUUUGCGCAGUGGCAGUAUCGUAGCCAAUGAGGUUUAUCCGAGGCGCGAUUAUUGCUAAUUGAAAACUAAGAAACACAAAAUAAAUUUAUUCUUAAUUUAUUUAAAGACAACAAUAAUAAGCCCAUUAGAAGUGG
rfam:Mustela putorius furo unplaced genomic scaffold scaffold00323, whole genome shotgun sequence.